GGCAGCUGGCUGCUUUCUGUUGGCAUGCAGUGUGGUGUUUGUUCUUUUGCUCUUUGCAAUAAAUCUUGUUGCUGCUCACUGUUUGGGUCUGCACUGCCUUUAUGAGCUGUAACACUUAUUGUGAAGGUCUGCAGGUUGACUCCUGAGGCCAGGGAGACCACGAACCCACCGGUAGGAAGAAACUCUGGACACAUCCGAACAUCAGAAGGAGCAAACUCCAGACACACCAUCUUUAAGAACUGCAACACUCACCGGAGGGUCCGCGGCUUCAUUGUUGAAGUCAGCGAGACCAAGAACCCACCAAUUCCAGAUGCAGUCUCACCUGUAUAUGGAAUUUAAUAAAGCCAGACUCAUGGAAGCAGAGAGUAGAGCAGAGGUUGCCAGAAGCUUGGAUUGGAGGAGAGAUUUGUGAUCUUACUUAGAUGAUGUGUGAGACAGUAAAUGAAAUGAGGAGCAUU
rnacentral:lncRNA from 1 species